rnacentral:rRNA from 1 species
AUGUGUCAGAUCAGCUGUCAGGUGAGAACCAUGCCCUUCACUUACCCCACGGUGAGAGAUUUGAUGCCUCUUGUGGACAACAUUGAACGUGCCCUCUGGAUGUUAUAUGGCAGAAUUGAGUACAUCAACUCAGUACUCUCCUCUCUGCUCUUGUCUGCGAUGUGUGUUCUUAAGCUACCAGAUAAGCUGUUCGAUCUUUUUGAUCGUGCUAGAUGGAAUUGUCUCUGGAGGAAGGUGAUGGAUAGAGACGCGCGCACUGAGUCUUUGGCAGCUUGGCACUUGGUUUGCCGACCAGAAAUGAAAGGUGGCCUUGGAGUGCUUGAUCUUUAA